rnacentral:rRNA from 1 species
UAGCUGGUUCUCCCCGAAAUAGCUUUAGGGCUAGCCUCAAGUAGUAAGUAUAGGCGGUAGAGCACUGAUCGGGCUAGGGGCCAUAAAGGUUACCGAACCCUGUCAAACUCCGAAUGGUUAUACUGUAGAGCUUGGGAGUCAGACUACGAGUGAUAAGAUCCGUGGUCAAAAGGGAAACAGCCCAGACCACCAGCUAAGGUCCCCAAUGUCGUACUAAGUGGAAAAGGAUGUGGGGUCUCUAAAACAACCAGGAUGUUGGCUUAGAAGCAGCCACCAUUUAAAGAGUGCGUAAUAGCUCACUGGUCGAGAGACCCUGCGCCGAAGAUUACCGGGGCUAAAGUACGAAACCGAAGCUGUGGCUACGACAUAUGUCGUGGGGUAGGGGAGCGUUCUGUGAGGGCUGAAGUCGUUCUGUAAGGAACGGUGGACUUCACAGAAGUGAGAAUGUUGGUAUGAGUAGCGAAAAGAAUGGUGAGAAUCCAUUCCACCGAAAGCAUAAGGAUUCCUGGGCAACGAUCGUCGUCCCAGGGUAAGUCGGGACCUAAUCCGAGGCAUGGAGCGUAGGAGAUGGACAACUGGCAGAUAUUCCAGUACCGGUAAUGAUUGUUUGAGCGAUGGAGUGACACAGGAGGGCAGGCAGGCAGGAGAUUGGUUGUUCCUGUACAAGCGUGUAGGAUGGGACGCAGGCAAAUCCGCGUCCUGUGAGUCUGAGGCGUGAUGUGGAGGUUCCGGAAACGGAACCGAAGCUGCUGACCCCACACUGUCGAGAAAAGCUUCUAGUUAGAGAAUUACCGCCCGUACCGUAAACCGACACAGGUAUGCGGGGAGAGAAUCCUAAGGUGCGCGGGAGAACCCUCGUUAAGGAACUCGGCAAAAUGUACCCGUAACUUCGGGAUAAGGGUAGCCGCUGUUGUGAAGUCUGAACAGACGGAGCAUGAGGCGGUCGCAGAGAAGAGGCCCAAGCGACUGUUUACCACAAACACAGGUGCCUGCUAAAGAGAAAUCUGACGUAUAGGUGCUGACACCUGCCCAGUGCCGGAAGGUUAAGGAAGGAUGUCCGGAGCAAUCCAAAGCAUUCGACCGAAGCCCCGGUGAACGGCGGCCGUAACUAUAACGGUCCUAAGGUAGCGAAAUUCCUUGUCGGGUAAGUUCCGACCCGCACGAAAGGUGUAACGAUUUGGGCACUGUCUCAACGAGGGACCCGGUGAAAUUGAAGUACCUGUGAAGAUGCAGGUUACCCGCGACUGGACAGAAAGACCCCAUGGAGCUUUACUGUAACCUGACAUUGGGUUCUGAUACAUCACGUACAGGAUAGGUGGGAGGCAUGGAAGCGAGGACGCUAGUCUUCGUGGAGCCGCCGUUGGGAUACCACCCUUGAUGUAUCGGAAUUCUAACCGUAGGAGUAACGAAACUCGGGACAGUGUCAGGCGGGCAGUUUGACUGGGGCGGUCGCCUCCCAAAGAGUAACGGAGGCGCCCAAAGGUUCCCUCAGCGCGGCCGGAAAUCGCGCGAAGAGUGUAAAGGCAGAAGGGAGCUUGACUGAGAGCCAAACACGGCAAUCAGGUACGAAAGUAGGGCUUAGUGAUCCGGUGGCAUCCAAGUGGAAGGGCCAUCGCUCAACGGAUAAAAGCUACCCUGGG